AGGCAUUUAUUAACACUGCAAAGGAGAUCUACGAGAAAAUCCAGGAAGGAGUUUUUGACAUUAAUAAUGAGGCAAAUGGCAUAAAAAUUGGCCCUCAACAUGCUGCUACUAAUGCAACACUUGCAGGCAAUCAGGGAGGACAACAAGCUGGAGGAGGCUGCUGUUGAGCCUGUUUUUACUUUCUAGCUGCCUGGAUGGGGCCUACUAACUUGUUUGUUCACCCUUCCCUCCCCCUCCGCCCCGCUCGCCUCCACUUCAAUUCAGCUGAGACAUGAAACUUGUAAGUUGGUUUCCUGUUGCAGAAGAAGACUUUAUCCUUCAAAUUCUUGUAUAACUUUGAAUAAAUGGUUAAUGUUCACUUAAAGACAGAUUUUGGAGAUUGUAUUCAUAUCUAUUUACAUUUGAUUUCUAGGUCAAUUGAUGUGAUUAUUUUUGUUAAAUGUUGUCUUGUGCCCUUGACUACGAACUGAAUUGUAUUAAACACUACAAAGUCAUCUGAGUAUUUUAAUCAGUUUGUGUAGUUAGGUUUCCCAGCUCCUGCGGUUACCUAAUGUUUAAUAUUGUAGAGCUGUCCUCAAGUUUUUUGUCAAUUUUCAAGGCUAUAAAGCGAAGCGGAAGGACUCUUUUAAUUCUGUAUUUAUCACUUUCUGUAUAUAUAGUUUAAUAAUCUGCUUGGGUGUACUUGCCAAGCUAGAAUUCUUCAAUGCAUUUGCAUAAAUUCUAUACUACUUAGAGCUUGAAAACUACAGAAGCAUUAAUAGAAAUUGCUUGGACGCUAAAUUUUAAGCCUUUUUGACAUUGUUAGCAUGUUCAUCUUCCCCUGUCAUUAUCCUGAAGUCCAAGAGAAAUGCUUAAUGUAUAUUACUAGAGGCUACAUACGUGCUAUCUAUUUUAAUGCCAAAUGUUUGCUGUUUGUCCACAAUUUCCACAGCACCUCUUCAGAAAUGGAUUAGCUGUUUGCCUUAACAAAUACUGUAGGUAAAAACAGAGUAUGAAUGAAAAGUAGAGGAGGAGUUGAUAAAUUUAAAAUGGCACAUUAUAAAAACGUUAAUCUUUUCUUAAUGUUUUUUCUUGUUUACCACUUGAUUUCUAGGUAUAUUUUUCAUGCAAGGACAGUUUUUCAACCUAAAUGUACAGUGGUUGUGUAAAGUUUUCUUUUAGUGACAACUUGUAAUCCUAAAUAUAUGGUAAGCAUCUUGUCUAUUGUGAAGAGGGUGUGAAAAUAAAACCUGCCGGUUUGGAAAUCUUGAUGAAAAUCAAAACUAGAAAUGCUUUGGUACUUAUUAUGGUGGUGGUCUGGAGGGGGAGGGAUGUUUUGCCUCAAAUGAAAGGGUUGCAACAGUACAAAACGAAAUCCUGUGUUUAAGUGUUUAUUUGUUAAAGUACAGAAUAUUCAUGUCACUUUUCCUACAAAUGAGGAAACAACUGAGUUUCCACCUCAUCUUAUUUAUAUAAAUUGCAGAUAAAAGGGUGACACUAAUGCUAGGCCAUGCUUCAUGUAUCUAAAAAAAAAAAAAAAGGGGGGGGAGGGGGAUGACUGCAAAACUUUUGUCUUACUGGACCAAUACUGACUGCAACACAACACUGGGGGACAUGGAUCCUCAUGUCAUCCAUUCUUAUUGUCAGAACUUUAACAUCGGAAGUGAAUAAACAUCAGCCUGACAGGUGUAACGUAGCAGUGGUUCUGAGAUUAAAUAAAGUUUAAAAAACGUGUGGAA